AGGAGUAUUUUCGGAUGCUCAGAAUCCAGUGAAACUUAAGCGAACAUUAUUUAUUUUUCUAAGUAGGACAAGUGUUUUAAAAUACAAUAUUGCGCCCAGUCCCGUAAGAAUGCAUAUGGCAUUUCACUGUUAGGCAUGCAUAAAUUCAUUUUAGGACAUGCAUCAUACAUCGUGCAUUGCAACCCUUGGUGAUAGGGGCAUCAUCACCCUGGCGCGCGAUAUUGUAG
rnacentral:lncRNA from 1 species